GUAGAUGUAGCUCAGUUGGUUAGAGCGCUAGAUUGUGGUUCUAGAAGUCGCGGGUUCGAAUCCCGUCAUCUACCCCA
rnacentral:tRNA from 2 species